rnacentral:rRNA from 1 species
GGACCCGCACAAGUAGUGGAGCAUGUGGUUUAAUUCGAAGAUACGCGCAGAACCUUACCAACACUUGACAUGUUCGUCGCGACUUUAAGAGAUUAAAGUUUUCGGUUCGGCCGGACGAAACACAGGUGCUGCAUGGCUGUCGUCAGCUCGUGUCGUGAGAUGUUGGUUAAGUCCCGCAACGAUGCGCAACCCUCACUUUUUAGUUGCCAUCAUUAAGUUGGGCACUCUGAAAGAACUGCCAGUGAUAAGCUGGAGGAAGGUGGGGAUGACAUCAAGUCCUCAUGGCCCUUACGUGUUGGGCUACACACGUGCUACAAUGGUAUCUACAACAGGAAGCAAGACUGCGAGGUCAAG